rnacentral:lncRNA from 1 species
GCAAGACUUAGGAAACGGACCUUUCACUCCAUUCUGUGCCUAUCCAAGGCAACCAUCAGGGCUUACCACUUUCCUCACCAAAAACAGACACUUCACACAAAGAUUUCUACGUGAUGUUUUCCAAUAGCUUUAUUCAUAAUAGUCAAACAUGAAAACUACCUGAAGGAACAUCAACUAGCAAAUGGAUAAACAAAUUGUGGUACAUCAUCAAAGUGGUACACUACCCAGCAAUACAAAGCAGCAAAUAACUGAUACACACAGCAGAGAUGAAUCACAAAACUACGCUGAGUAAGCAAAGCCAGACACAAAAGACAUCACACACUUUAGGAGGCUGAGGCAGGCAGAUCACCUGAGAUCAGGAGUUCGUGACCAGCCUGACCAAUAUGGUGAAACCCUGUCACCACUAAAAAUACAAAAAUUAGCCAGGCUUGGUGGCAUGUGCCUGUAGUCCCAGCUACUCGGGAGGCUGAGGCAGGAGAAUCGCUAGAACCCAGGAGGUGGAGGUUGCAGUGAGCCAAGAUCGCACCACUGCACUCCAGUCUGGGAGAGAGAGAGAGACUCCGUCUCAAAAAAAAAAAAAAAAGGACAUCACCCUAUCACCCUAAAUAACACCAUUUAUACAAAGCUUUAGGGAAGUCCAACCUAGUCAACAGUGACAGAAACAGAUCAGUCCCCAGGGGUGGGUGCUGAUAGAACAGGGAUGCAAAGAAGCCUUUAAGGGUGAUGAAAUAUUCUAGAUCUCAACUGCCAGUAUGGUUACACAGGCACAUAUGAUACAUUUGACUGUAUACUUACAGUAUGGGCAUUUUAUUGGUGGUAAACCACAAAAAGUUGAUAUUUAAAAAAAAACCAACAUUUUCUAUUACAUUGGGCUCAUUCCAUUUCAGGAUGUGCUUACAAGUACAACAUGGGUUGCUUCUGAGAGGAAACUGCGUAGACAGGGACAGGCGUGGGAAGACAUCAAAAUGUUUACCCUUCUGUACAUUUAAACAUCUGAACUGUAAGGCUAUGUUAGUUAAUUUUUAAAUAAAUAAAAUUUUAAAUGAAGGAAAAAAUUCUAAAAACAUGUUCUUCAUUGGUGAAAUGAGUGAGAUAGUAUUAUCUGAGGCCCCUCAUCACCACAAAACUAUGGGACUGUUACCCAAUCUACUUCAGUUGUGGAAACCCUGCUUUUUGAGACAGGCACUCUAUGUGGCCUCUAUUUUACCAAACUCCUCUGAGUUCUCAUGAAUAUCAUUUUUUAGCAUUUUUUCAUAUUUCAGUAUUUUUCAUAAAAUAUACCAUAGAUAAGAAUGCAUAUGUGUGUGUGUGUGCCUGCACGUCUCGGAUUCGAGAAUGUCUUUUAUUUUCUUUGUAGUUUUAUCCCCUAUGUGUGUAUCCCUAACCAAUCCUGUUCAGUUCCUGCACCAUUUAAAACUUAAUUGAAUCAUUCAGCAUAUAUUACUUUGUGCAUCUUUUGACCAAAAUUACAUUUGUAAAAUUCAUCCCUGUUGUUGCUAAAGCUGUAUUUUCAUUGUUAUAUGGUAUCACAAUUUAUAAUAAAUAAAUGAACCACAGUGUACUUAUCCAUUAAAUUAUUUGUGGAUACUUCUACAAAGUAUUUUUUUUUUUGGUCCCUGUUGCCUACAGAAAAAACAAAUCCAAACACACAACAUAGCAUCUGAGGCAACUACUGCCCCCACAAACCACCUAGCCAACCUUAUCUCCCACUACAUUUUCUACCAGCCCAUGCUGCCAUUGCAUCUGUUUACUGUGUAGUGGUUGAAAUAUUAGGUACACCUUCAAGAUGCUAUUGUGUUCAUUGUAUUCCUCAGGGUUAGAAUGCUCUUGAUCAUCUACUAGAUCUCCCAAAUCAUUCUUAUCCACUGAGGUUUAAGCAUGAUCUCCUUAUUAAGAACCCCACAAUCUCUUCCAUCCACAAUACCACGUUCCCCAAAACCAUAUCAAAAUGAAUUAUCCUUUCCUGAAUCUUCCACCACACUUAAUUCAUGCAACUUUUAGUUAUACCCAUUGGUUACGGCUGUGUCACAAUUUUUGCCCAAAAUCUUGCAGAUAAUGGGCAGGUAAUAAAUGUUGAAGCUUUUGAGUCAAAUUCAGACUCCUAAAACCCACUGCUAAUGCCAGGUGCUAAAUCAUUCAAAAAUAUAUCUUUAAAAAGUUUACUUCCACAAAAAUGAAAUACAUCAAUUAAAGUGAAAACAACAUCCCAUUGCUUAAGACAGAUUUGGUUGGGUUCCCCACAGUUUUAAAAUUGAUCUUUUUUUCUCAUAGAAAAUACAGUGCUUUAGAGUUCCCAAGACACAGAAGGUUAGAGUAUCACAUAAUUUAAGAUCAUUUGAGAAGAAAUACAUUAUUUAAAGAAAACGUAAUGUCCUUGAAAAUCAUUUUAACCCCCAGAGCAACAAAUAAAAGGGAAAAAAAAACAAAAUUUUAAUGACAUUAAUAAAUGGGUCAUAAAUUCCAAUGAAUUAUAAUGCAAAAGCAACAAGUAAUUCUGAACUUAAAGAACAGGACAGUCAUUUUUGUCAAAGAAAAUACAUGCAUGGAAUGCAGAUGCCACAAACAGGAGAUGAAAUAAAACAGAUAAGGAGAAGGCUGUAUCUAGGCUGAAUGGCUGGCCAAUGUUUUCCUCUCCGUCAGUAUAAAUAAAAUGGAUGGAAGAAAACACCCCUGGAUACUAUCAAAUAUGCCUUUCAAUUAUUUUAUGCAAAAACAUUAUUUUCAAUAGGUGUCAUUAAAGAAAACAUCAUAGAAAAAAGUUUGCAACUCAUGUUACAGAAAUUAGGCUAAAGUCUUUAAUAUAAAAACAGCUCCUAUAAAUCAAUAAGGAAAAGAACACUGGCCUACUUGAAAAAAUAGACAAAGGUUAUUUAUAAACAAACAAUGCUGAUAAAUGGUAAAUGUGGUAGUUCUUAAACAUAAGAUAAAAUGCUCAAUCACAGAGAACUGCAAAAUAAAAUCAUUUUGGGAUAGUCUUUUUCACCUAUCAGAUUUGCAGGAUCAAAAAGUUUCAUAAAAUAUUCUUCGCAAGAGUGUGGCAAAGCAGGCAGUCAUACACAUUGCUGGUGGGAGUAUAAAUUGUUAGAACCCUAAGGAGCUGCAUGCAAUAUGGUGACAGCCAUCAAAAUUACAAGUGCACAUGCCCUCUGACCCAGCAAUUCCACUUCUGGGAAGUUCUCUAAAAUACUUGCAUAUAUGCAAAAUGAUGCAUGUACAGGGUCAUUAGCUAUAAUGCUGAAAUAGCAAAAGCUUGGAAACAUUACUGCCUCAGUAGGAGACAGGUUAAGUAAUUUGAGACAUCCUUACAAUAGAAUUCUGAAGCAGCUGAAAAAGAACAAGGAAGCAAUCACCAAGAAAUACUAGGAAAAGGAAGAGCUCAUAUGUUAUUCCACAAUUUGCAUAGAAUAUGGUGUAUUUGCUGAAAUGUGCACUAUCUGGAAAGAGACACAGGAAACUAGCAACAUUGCUGGCCUCCGUGAGGAAACUGGGCGGCCAGGGACUGGGAUGAGAAAGAGAUUUUCAAAAUGCUUACCCUUUUGUACCUUUAAACUUUUGCACUGUGAGACUGUAUUAGUUUUUUAAAGAAAUAAAAUUUAAAAUUAAGAAAUAAAAUGUUAAGGCCGGGCGCAGUAGCUCACGCUUGUAAUCCCAGCACUUUGGGAGGCCGAGGCGGACGGAUCACGAGGUCAGGAGAUCGAGACCAUCCUGGCUAACACGGUGAAACCCCGUCUCUACUAAAAAAAAUACAAAAAACUGGCCAGGCGUGGUGGCGGGCGCCUGUAGUCCCAGCUACUCGGGAGGCUGAGGCAGGAGAAUGGCGUGAACCCGGGAGGCAGAGCUUGCAGCGAGCCGAGAUCGCGCCACUGCACUCCAGCCUGGGCGACAGAGUGAGACUCCAUCUCAAAAAAAAAAAAAAAAGAAAGAAAGAAAGAAAAGAAAAAGAAAUAAAAUGUUAAAAACAUCGUAAACAUUAGUGAGACACAGCCCUAAGACUAUUAGACUAUUGCCCAAUCUAGCAUAAGACAAUAUGUCCUUCUUAUUUGAGUGCUCGCAUUCACUCCAUAAUAAGAUAGAUUUGGAAUAAACUCUAUUCCAAACACAGAUACCUAAGAGAUCCAAAGUUAAUUCACUUUCAGGGACCUCCGACAAGAUACAGCUAGUUUUAAGAGAAAACACCAGGACUAGCAGAGAUCUGAGGAAAAUAUUCAUCUUGCUCAAGUUAACCUAGAAAAUGACAGGCUGUCUAUUUUGUGCAAUUUAUUUAUUUCUCAACUUUAAGGUUCAGAAAUCUCUGUCCUGUAACAAGGUAUCUGUUACCGGAGUCUGAUUAUUCUGCACUGUGUAGGUCAUGUUUGUUAUGAGGACACUUAGCAAACAAAGAAGGUUUUUCUCCGCCCUCAAUAGCGUGGUAACGGAUGACAGGACACCACUUUCAACGAAGGAGACAGACAUUUCCCUGGCCUUUCUGAAGAGCGCUUUUUGGAGAGACAAACCUGUUGCUCAGGGGCUGAGCAUUCCCGUGUGUUCUCCCUGUACUUCACCUAAAAAUAUGCCUGUUUUCCACACUGUGCACACCCGGGGGUGGGUGCUGGGCAUACUCCACCUGCUUGUUUGCCUCCCGUUUUCUCAUCAGGGAGUAAACACAGUAAACCUAACGCUCCAGGGGAAGGAAAAAACAAAUCAUUCAGGGCCCAUCUCAGGUGACUGAUGAAUGCGGCACCGUUUUGAACGGGUACCUAAUCUGGUCCAGAUAUGCCUGCUGGGGCUGCAAGAACCAAGACACGUUCAAGCACGUUUGCUCCGGCAAGCUUGGGCGAGCAGGUCAAGACCUCAGAGUUUUAGAAAGCAGGGGCGAAGUUUUCAAGCACGAUGGGAACACCUGUAGGUGCAGGUGCCUGAGGGUCGGCCGACCACCUCGCAUCUGAGGCUGGAUCCGCACACGGAGAACGACAACUGCUCACAGGGACGUGCGUCCGGAGGAAAGUUGCGCGGCGGGAGAGGGCGAAGUGGAGGACUGCUGCUCGGUUCCGUAUCCAAAAGAGACCCAAGGCUCCAGGCAAAAUAGAUUGGACAUUUUCACUUUCUCAAGCCAGGGCCACCGGUCGCCCAACCAGCAGCCACUGAGGGUGGUAUCGGGGCGCCCCUUCCCCUGGCAGCGUAUUUCAGCCCCCAGAGACAUCCCCCACCUCGGCCAUCCCCAGCGCCUUUGCAGGGACAGCAGCACAACCAUAGCAGAGGUCCUGGGCAUCCUGGAAAUAACGUGCUGGUAUAAAUGUUGGAUUGAGAAAGGAAGAAAAAACAUUUGGGGUCAAUUUGGGGCCCUCUCGUUUGACACGGGAGGAAACACAAGGCCGCAGCGUUGGGGGAAGCUGCUUCCUUUCUCUCUCUUCUUUCUCUCUGUCUCAGGUGCUUCCUUUCUCUUCUCUGUCUCUCUCUCUCUCUCUGCCUCUCCCUCUCUCUCCCCCGUCUCUCCCCCUAUCUUCCCCUCUCUCCUCCUAUCUCCCCCUCUCUCCCCCUCCUUGUGGCUAGGUGAUCUGGCUCAGAAGUGCACGUUGGCCCGCGCGUGCGGGGAGCUGAGAAGCAAGAGAUUGGAACUUUGCACGUGUCAAGCAAGGUUUGGCCUGCUUUGAAGACAGUAAUUUCAGAGCCACUCCGGUCUCUGCGUCACAAGCGGGCAUCAGGGCAGUGGUGGGGCGGCAGGGGAUCCUGAGACCUCCCAUGCCCUCUCUUUGGCCCCGGUGCUUCUGGAAUGAGGGAGGAGAAGGAGCCAGUCUGGAAGGGAGGCUGACAAGUUUCAUUUUUAAAAAUUGAUCUGCACUUGGAUAUCUCUGGAGAUGCCAGUAAGGUUGUUGGGUACAGAGGUCUGCAGCUCAGAGACCAGCAGGCAUCCUGAACAAGACAGAUCCAGGCAGACGGAAUGGCCUGUAGGAGAACUUGGCAGAGGGCACAACCAAGAAGAGUUCAAAGGCGCUGGCCAGUUCCAUGCGACUGCAUGGGGUCAUGGGAGAAGAGAUACACUUAAACCAGGGUCCCACAGGCUCAAUGGGUCUCCUUCCAAAAUCAGCUUCCAAUGAGCCCUCAGAUUCUCCAAAUACUGGGCAGCUGGAUUUCCCAGACACCUUCUGCAAUCUGCUGACAUCUAAUAUACCUGUAGACUGUUCUCCUGCUGACAAGGUUGUUCUUGCUCUUAUCCUAUAAAGAAGAGAGGUGGCAGAGAGUUGGAGGGGAGGGCCUCCUUCCCUGGCAUGUCCAUCCGAGGGUCUCCAAGAACAUCCUGGCUGUGGCCCACACCUUUCUGUGUGGUUAGGAGGAGUAUCGGAUGCCUUCUCUUUCCAACCUUGGCUUAGGUGUCCGAGUUUGGAUGAGAAAUUAUAUGGGCUCCGCAUUCAUCUCCAACCUAUCAACAGCUGCUGAUAACUCCUUCUCUGAAGUGUUCUCACCUCACCUAGCCCUUUUUCUCCAGUCUCAAGGCUGCCAUCCCUGUUCAAGCUUCAGUGCCUGUCAUCCAUCUGAACUGCAUCAGCCUCAUAUCUCCUCUUCCAAUCCUCCCUGUACACCUCUCCUUUAAAACAGUGCUUUCAACCUGUAGCAUCCACCCCCAAGCGCUUACAACGAUGCCCAGUUUCCUAGAACUGCUACACCUAAAAGAAAUCACCAGCCGCCUUCUAAAGCUGGUUCAUCCGACAAAUCUCUUUCUAAAAGCUGCAUUUCUCACUGCUCCCAAAUGUGAACACUCGGCUAUUGUCAAACUAGCUCAUCUCUGAGUUCACUCUCCAAGCAAACUUUCACAUCCAUGCUGUUGCUCAUGCUAUACUAUCUUUCCUUGUCUUUUCAACCUUCUGGAAGCCCAGAUCUUCUAUCUGCAGUUCAGCUUGCUCUUCUUGCAUGAACCCUAAAUCAAGUGGAAAAAGCAUGGGUUUCUUAGUCAUGAGGAUCUGAAUUUGACCCUAGAUCCAUCACUACCCACUGUAUUUCACUGAUUAUAAGACAUACACAUUUUUUUUCACUUUUAACAUACCUGGAAAUGGAAUGUACUUUAGAAUCUUAAGCAUCUUAGAUUCAACAAAGCAUAGUAGCCUGUGACUUUGUGUUAUGUGACACAGACUCUCUGGGUCUCGGUGACCUCGUCUUUAAAACAAUUAACAUUUAACCCUCGAGACUGCUGUGGGAAUUACUUGGAAUAACCGCAGUGGGAGACCCAGUGGCAGAAUAUCUCUGUGAGAAUUUGUACCCUGAACCCAAGCAUUUUAUAAUGACUUUCUCUUGAGAAGACCUGGGCCACAUGGAAAAACUGUUGCAACUGAUACCAAAGUUUGUGUCAUCGAAUUUCAAAACAAUUCUCUGCAGUGUACAAAGCCAGAAAGAGAAACCAGCCUCAUUCAUGGGUGGUUUAACCACAGCUCUCUGCAGAGAACUCUGUUCAGAGGAAAUAGCUAAAGGGGCCAUUUCUCCAGGGGUCAUGAGCCAAGUAGCUUUCUGUUGGAAAAAUGUUGUUUGAUGGACAAAGCUACAAAAGCAGCUUUGUCCUUAAUUCUUCAGUAAAAAAUCUUCUAAAGCUGAUUUUAUGUUAAAAGUCCACAGGUGUAUCUGCAGCAAAGGCAUCUAACAGAACAAGCAGCAGCUGCCUCUCC